rnacentral:rRNA from 1 species
CAGGGAAUCUUGCACAAUGGGCGAAAGCCUGAUGCAGCGACGCCGCGUGGGGGAUGAAGGCCUUAGGGUCGUAAACCCCUUUCAGCAGGGACGAAAAUGACGGUACCUGCAGAAGAAGCCCCGGCCAACUACGUGCCAGCAGCCGCGGUAAGACGUAGGGGGCGAGCGUUGUCCGGAUUUAUUGGGCGUAAAGAGCUCGUAGGCGGUUGCGUAAGUCGGAUGUGAAAACUCAGGGCUCAACCCUGAGACGCCAUCCGAUACUGCGCUGACUUGAAUCCAGUAGGGGAGUGUGGAAUUCCUGGUGUAGCGGUGAAAUGCGCAGAUAUCAGGAGGAACACCCAUGGCGAAGGCAGCACUCUGGGCUGGUAUUGACGCUGAGGAGCGAAAGCAUGGGUAGCGAACAGGAUUAGAUACCCAUGUAGUCCCUGAGCGGGCUGGCAAGGCGCAU